rnacentral:lncRNA from 1 species
AUUCUCCUGCAUCGACGCUCCUCCUCCUCCUCUGCCUCUUGCUGCCGGCUUUCCCUCGGCAGUUCGGGAUAGAGGAAGUUGGCCAGACUCCUUUCCUUUUGAGCCAAGGCAUGGGCUGCUUGGGAGGAGUGGAGCCGGCUUGGGAAGGAGUACGACAAAAAGAGGGAAAAUAUGGACAUGGAAAAGCCCAGAGACUUUGGCAGUCUCCGAGCAAUGUUUCAAAAUGAUUCCAAUUUUUCCAAUAUGCUCCUGGAGUCUGCAAAGAAGCCUACUACCAAAUUCAGUCCACGGCAAAAUACCGGUGGCUCGUCUGUGUCUCGUCCCACGCCAAAACCCUUGAACCAAAGGCAGGUUCCAGAUCCUGAACAGCAAACCAAGCAAUUCAGUUACACGUCACAGAAACUGGAACUCAGGCAAGUCAAGCCUAUGAUAUUCCUAAAGGUCAAGCUCAAAGAUAGGAAGGACCCCAACCUCUCUGGGGCCAUUUGCAAGCCACCUUCAUUGGGGGAAGAAUUACAGAAACCACAUCCAAGACCUCAAGGGUCUGAAGGAGCAAACAGUUCUUUUCGCAACACACUGCACAUUUGGGAAAGUGCCUCAGCACAAGGUGACUGGAAAUGUGGUGCAACACCACCACAGCAUACAAUCAGGACAACUUCUCUUUCCCACCCAAAAGUUGUUAAUGUUGCGAUUUCGACAGAGGACAAAGCAAAAAUAGCUGGACUUAAGCAAGGGGUGGUUCUUGAUGUGUGUAAGCCUUCAUCCCCCGUACACAAUGAAUUUGUUCCUACAAUUUCACCUCCAGUUCCUCCAAGAAGUCAUGCAAGCUUAAAUAAAGUGGUUGCUGGUUUUUCUCCAAGUAGUUCGAACAAUUUGAACAGUCUAAGCAAGGUCUCAAAUGAAAGAUGUCCUGAUGAUGAAGAUACCAAGCUUCCAAAAAUCAAGCUCCUCCCUUCUAUCAAAGAGCUUGGUCCUCCUCCAAAGAAGCCACUAAGACCUCCCAAGGUAGAUCUUGCUGCCUUCCAACAGAAUUGUCCAGAUAAUCCAGAUGAUGCAUACUUGACUCCUGAAAUUACUGAACUGGAAGAUUUGAACACCUAUGAAGAAACCAUAUACUACCAGGAACAGCAAGAGAACUGUCCUAAUUUUGUUCAACGGCCUAUACAUUCUUUCAAGUCUUUGAAAAAGGAAGAUACUAAGAUUUGCAGUCCCAGAACUAUAUUCAUGAAAGCCCAAAUCGGAGGGAAUGAGAAGAGCAUGCCUCAAGAGGAAACAAAUCAGUGUUUCUCUGGAGAAGGAUUGGCAAAGGAUGGAGAUUUUUCAGAUGAUUAUGUAUGCCUGGAAUCUUUAAGAACCGAUGAAAGGAAGUGGAACCCAGAUCUAAGAAUUGCUACAUUGGAGCAAGCUGCAGAGCAAGUGUAUGAUGAUGUGGAAGGAAUAGAGAGAGACCUGUAA